rnacentral:rRNA from 1 species
UACGUAGGGGGCGAGCGUUGUUCGGAUUUACUGGGCGUAAAGGGCGCGCAGGCGGCCGACCAAGUCAGGCGUGAAAGCCCCGGGCUUAACCUGGGAGGUGCGUCUGGGACUGGUAUGCUAGAGUUCGGGAGAGGAGAGUGGAAUUCCCAGUGUAGAGGUGAAAUUCGUAGAUAUUGGGAAGAACACCGGUGGCGAAGGCGGCUCUCUGGACCGAGACUGACGCUGAGGCGCGAAAGCGUGGGGAGCAAACAGG